rnacentral:lncRNA from 1 species
CUUAAAUUUUAGACUCAGACGUAAGAGAUGACCAUCAAAAAAACCUAAAGAACAAAAUAACUCAGUCCUUUUAAAAAAAGUGAGGCAAUAUGUGAUAAUGAAGACAGUUGCAAAUCAAGUAUGAACACAUUUGUUUAAAUGUGAAAUAUUUCUUCUUAAUAGCAUUUCUUGUUUUCCAUACUUUUCAUCUUAAACAUGGUUCCUUUUGUAAAUUCUUGCAAUCCUAGUUUGCAUUUUGUUAUUCAAAAUGUUAUAAGUGGAAAAUUUUUGUCUCAUAUAUAAUUUGUCAGUAUCU